UACGUAGGGUGCAAGCGUUAAUCGGAAUUACUGGGCGUAAAGCGUGCGCAGGCGGUUAUAUAAGACAGUUGUGAAAUCCCCGGGCUCAACCUGGGAACUGCAUCUGUGACUGUAUAGCUAGAGUACGGUAGAGGGGGAUGGAAUUCCGCGUGUAGCAGUGAAAUGCGUAGAUAUGCGGAGGAACACCGAUGGCGAAGGCAGUGUUCUGGGCCAGUAGCUGACGCUGAGGAGCGAAAGCGUGGGGAGCAAACAGG
rnacentral:rRNA from 1 species